CUUCUCCACUUUGGCGUAUUUCUUGAUAUCGAUCUCCUUCCGGCCGUUCUCCUCCAACUCCACCGUCCUGACGGCGUCGAGGGCGAUGCUGCAGGCCAGCUCGGACCAGCGGUUGAUGGCUUUGGUGUUUAUGGCACUCUUGAUGAUUUUCAGCAUCAUCUCUCUGUUGUUCACAUCCACCGGGGUGCUGCGGGACGGGGAGGGCUGAGCAGCGCUAACCGAGCUAACCCACGCCAUAACUGAGCUCUAAGUGUGGGUCACCCCCCACCACCCCCCCAGCUCAGUGUUUUGCCAAAUCGAACCCCUCUGAGCCACGCAGAACCCCACAGCCCUCCUCCCCACCUCCAGAGAAGUGCAGAACAUCGGGGAUUGGGAUGGACCCGCAAAGCCCACCCGGCCCAACCCGGGGCAGCAGCACCCGGACCGGGGCACCCACAGCGCAUCCGGGCGGGUUGGGAACGCCUCCAGAGGAGACCCCACCGCCUCUGUGGGCGGCUCAGUGCCGUCCCCCUCACCGUGAAGGACUUCUGUCUCACACCGAUGUGGAACCUCCCCGGUCCCCGCGGGCACCCACUGCCCCCUGUGCUGCCACCGGGUGUCACUGAGAAGAGCCCGGCUCCGUCCUCCCGGCACUCAGCCUUCACAGAUGGACCCCCGUUCGUGAGGUCACCCCUCGGUCUCCUCCACCUGCAGACCCUCAGCUCCCUCAGCCUCUCCUCAGCACGGCGAUGCUCCGCUCCCUUCCCAGCCCCGUGGCUCUGCGCCGGGCUCUGCAGCGGUUCCCGUCCUUCAGAACCGAGCUGCCCACAACCGGACGCCAUCUCCCAGACGCCGCCUCCCCGGGGCAAAGCGGAGCGGGAGCAGAACCUCUCCGGACCUCCCACUCCCCCCUUCUAACACACCUCAGGACGCCGUCGGCCUCCUUGGCCACAAGGGCACAGUGCUGGCUCACGGUCCUCCCGCGGCCCGCCGGGACCCCCGGCUCCCUGUCCCCUCUGCUGCUCUCCAGCAGGCCGGUUCCCGAUCCAUGCCGGUACCCGGGGCCGUUCGUGCCCAUACACGCGGCUCUACGCUGCCCCUGUUCUCUCCCAUCCCAUUUCUCCCUGCCCAGCUCUCCCUGGACGGCAGCACAGCCCUCUGCCGCGUCAGCCUCUCCUCCCAGUUCUGUGCCAUCACCAAACUCGCUGACGGUGCACUCCAUCCCUCAGCCACGUGAAUGGUGCGUACAUUGAAGAGCACUGAUCCCAGCACCGACCCCUGAGGGACUCCAUUGGAUCCAGGCCUGCAGUUGGAUGGAGGCAGCUCUCCCAUUACCACCACUUACCAAAGAUAAAGGACGGCGGCCUAACAACGUCUGCCAGCUCCCUCAGCACCCACGGGUGCAUCCCAUUGGGACCCACGCAUUUAUGGAUGCCCACAGUGCUCAGGUGGCCCCAAGCCAGGCCCGGUGCACCCACCUGAUCUUCUUCAGGACGUGGAUCAUGUCGUCCAGAGCUUUGCGGUAGGCGCCGAUGAUGACAGUCGGGUGCAUCUGCUGCUCCAGGAAGUGCUCAGCAACAGAGAGCAUCUCUCCAGCUGUGGGGCGGGAGGGGGGUGGGGGUCAGCACUGCCCCAUGGGGGUCACAGCGCCGCAGUCGGAGCUCUCUGCGCUCCCACAGCAUCGGCACCUCUCACCGUGCUCAACCCAGGGGCAGAGCUCAGCUGUCAGCACAGAGCACAGCACUGACUGCUGUCAGCACAGAGCAGUCUGACCGACUGCUCCCCUCGGUUCAAAACCCCAAAGCCACGUUUUAGGGCUGCGCAGAACUCUGCAAGGUGUCCUCACCGGGCUCCGCUACGCACACAGUAAACCUCAGGUGAGGAUUUACGCACGUCUCCCCCCCCUUACCGAGGAUAAUGACAGAUGUGGUCCCAUCCCCGACCUCCUCGUCCUGAGUGCGGCUGAUCUCGAUCAUGGACUUGGCAGCGGGGUGCUGCACUUGGAUCUGGUGGGGGUAAACGCCGCGCUGUGCUGUGGGGCUGAGCUGAGCUCUGCUGCCCGGCUCAGAUCCCAGCACCUCUCCCAGCGAGCACAGAGCAGUGCACAACUGCAGCACAGGGCUUUUCCUUCCUUUGGGGACCGACGAGAGAUCCCUUUCUCCUUCCCCAGCAGAAACGUCCCUUUCCCCUUUCCAAGCCCAAAACCCCUUCCCAAGCCCAAAACCCCUUUCCAAGCCCAAAACCCCUUUCCAUUUCCAAGGGAAGCCUUUGCAAAUCCCACCAUUCCUCUCCCCCAGUUUUCCAGCCCUUUCCAAUCCCUGUGAUGCUAUCCCGGUGCCAUUUGCGCUAAAAUAAACCCGACAAUUUCCUUGCUUUAA